GGGCUGGGGCUCAGUGGUAGAGCACUUGCCUAGCACAUGAGAGGCACUGGGUUCAAUUCUCAGCAUCCCA
rnacentral:tRNA from 1 species